GGGUUUUUCUGUGCGUCACUUUUCACACACUCUGUUUACUGUCUGUUCACUUGAACAGCAUGUUUCAAACAAAUGUGUUCAUCAUCAGAUUGAAUUCCCUGCUUCUUUGUCGUUGCAGUAAGGAUUUCCUCCCUGAUUUUCAAAAAUAAUUAUAACUAUAUAUUAUAAAGUUUAUAAAUUGAUUGAAAGUGUGUUACAAUGUUUUCUCUGAGUGUUGUGGGACGACGUUGUGGAAUGGCCACAUUAAUUCGAAACCUGUUGUUCAAAUAAAGUGUGUGAAACUUAACUUGCAGAAAAAAACAGGAAUUCGAUAUAACACACCGGGAUGCUACAUUACGACAUGUAAAUAGUGAUUUUCGUUGGUAGAUGGCGAAGAUAUCUAGAACAGGAGAGAGAGAGUGAGAGAGAGAGAGGGAGGGAGCUACAAAUAUUUGCUUUAUUUGAGCUAAUGCACUGAAAAAGUAAAAUGUGGUGUGUGCCCUACAAGUUAAAAAAAAUAUGAAACUGUCAUCAGAGCAAGGAAUUUUCCUUUUGAGAUAUACUGGAUGCCAAACUAAGUUUUACUUUAAUAUGCAGAAAAAUACAAGUUGAGGACUUCACGACUAACUUUAGGUCCUGAAGGUAAUGCUGUGCACGUGCCAUACUGAGCCAUAUACCGUGAAGAUGUAUGGGGAGUGGCGAUAUAGUUCCAUAUAUUUUUAACGUGGAUAGUGGAAGUCAAAGACUCUGAAGUAGUGCAAAUAUUGCUACAAUCUCACAAGGAAGCUGGAGAAUUGUGCCACAUGCAGAAGGCAUGGCAACUCACAUCCUGCAGGAGGCUGGCGACAUACGUUUGGUUCCAGAGUUGUGGCCAAGUGAAGAACUGCCCACGCAGAUUGGAUAACUUAUGCAGAGCUUCUUCACGUGUCAGCUCAUCCAACCACGACAGACUCCUGAUCCUUGUCUCCAAGGUUACCUUCAAGUGCCUGAACAUCUGCGUCACCUGCCACGUCAAAAUUUCAUGCUGAUUUUGACUAUAUUACUUAACGUUGUUAAUUAAUUAAUGUUCAAAUAACAAAUGCUAAGGGCAUUUAUUAACAGCAGACAUGAACCUUCCAGAAGCAGAUGGUCUUAAGAAACCACUCUUGUAGAAUUUGUUUGGAAGGAUUACUUUGAAAAAUCACAAAAUACUUAUGCCAAAAUAAUUAAUACCCUGACCAAGGUUCCAAAUAUAGGUCACAUGUGCGACAGUUAUAGCUAAGUCAGUUACUUAAUAUUGUCCAGUAAUUUGAGAAAAUGAUAAUUAAACAGAUUCCUUUUUGUUAAAUAAAGAUGUUUCCUGGUUUGAAUCAUGA